UCCCUGGUGGCCUAGCAGUUAAGGAUCCAGCAUUGUCACCGCUGUGGUGUGGGUUUGAUCCCUGUCCUGGGAA
rnacentral:tRNA from 1 species